rnacentral:rRNA from 1 species
CGUGUAGGCGGGAAAUUAAGUCAGGUGUGAAAUCCAUGGGCUCAACUCAUGAACUGCACUUGAUACUGGUUUUCUUGAGUUCGGGAGAGGAGAGCGGAAUUCCCGGUGUAGCGGUGAAAUGCGUAGAUAUCGGGAAGAACACCAGUGGCGAAGGCGGCUCUCUGGCCUAGAACUGACGCUAAGGCGCGAAAGCGUGGGGAGCGAAC